UACGUAGGGUGCAAGCGUUAAUCGGAAUUACUGGGCGUAAAGCGUGCGCAGGCGGUUGUGUAAGACAGAUGUGAAAUCCCCGGGCUCAACCUGGGAACUGCAUUUGUGACUGCACAGCUGGAGUGCGGCAGAGGGGGAUGGAAUUCCGCGUGUAGCAGUGAAAUGCGUAGAUAUGCGGAGGAACACCGAUGGCGAAGGCAAUCCCCUGGGCCUGCACUGACGCUCAUGCACGAAAGCGUGGGGAGCAAACAGGA
rnacentral:rRNA from 1 species